rnacentral:rRNA from 1 species
CGCCUGUUUACCAAAAACAUCGCCUCUUGAUAAAUUAUAAGAGGUCCAGCCUGCCCAGUGACAUAGUUAAACGGCCGCGGUAUCUUGACCGUGCGAAGGUAGCAUAAUCACUUGUUCUUUAAAUAGGGACUAGUAUCAACGGCAUCACGAGGGUUAUACUGUCUCCUCUCUCCAAUCAGUGAAACUGAUUUCCCCGUGAAGAAGCGGGGAUAAACCUAUAAGACGAGAAGACCCCAUGGAGCUUUAAACUCAACAACAACCUCCCCUACAAAAUUCUACAUACUCCGGAGAUUCUGUUUGUUAGUUUUGGGUUGGGGUGACCGCGGAGAAAAAUUAAACCUCCACGAUGAACGGAAUUAACUCCUAAUCUAAGAGCCGCCGCUCUAAGAAUCAAUAAAUUGACAUAAAAUGAUCCGAUAAUCGAUCAACGAACCAAGUUACCCUGGGGAUAACAGCGCAAUCCAUUUCAAGAGCUCCUAUCGACAAAUGGGUUUACGACCUCGAUGUUGGAUCAGGGUAUCCCAGUGGUGCAGCCGCUACUAAAGGUUUGUUUGUUCAACAAUUAAAACCCUACGUGAUCUGAGUUCAGACCGG